AAAUAAUUUUAACAAAACUAUGCAUUUGAGUAAUGGAAAAUAGUAUGGGGUGCCAUGAAUUCAAGCAUUAGUUGAUUAGAACCACAGUAACAAGAAACUUGAAUUAGCAACCUUUUCCUUCCUUGUUUUAUAUUCAUGAGAAUGAGAAAUCAGGAGAAAAGGAAUAGUAAUCGGGAAUGUAUUGUAAGUAAAAGUUUGUAGACAUGUCAUGAAACAUCUUUUUUUAUGUUCCUUUGUAUCUUCUUCCACUACAACUCAAACACAACUUCAAACUUCUGCCUCUCUUACAAGUAAAGUGAACUAUGUGAAACACAAAGGGUAAAUGCAUUUAUGAAAACAGUUUCAACAUUAAGGGCUGAUAAAAUGUAUUUUCUGUAGCAUCUUGAGUUUAACCAGAAACUUGAAUUCACAAUUUUAUCCCUGAAUACUCUAAUUAAUAAUGUAUUUACCACAGAAAUAUAUGGAAGAAAUGAUUACAGUAUUACUGUUUGAAGUUUCAAGACAUCAAACACUGUGGGAGAGAUGAGUCAUAAGAUCUUGAACAGUUAUGGUAUUAUAUUGACAUUGUGUGUGUAUGUGUAUGUGUGUAGCAGAAUUGUUAGUAAUGAGACUCAAGUGAAAAAAAAAAUAGAGAACCUAGAGGUAAAUACCAGUUUUCUGGACAUUGUAGAGUUCCUGAAUAGAUGAGAAAGAAAAGAAGGCUCCAGAAGAAAACUUCCAAAGCCUAAGAGUUUACCUAAUGUCUUAAUUGUGAUUAUGUGUGCAAUCUCCCAUGUUGUUAAUAGGAGCUGGCAAGUGAAAGUAGAAUGCUUAAACUGGAGAGUAAAGAUUCUGUAAGAAUAUAAAUGACUUUAGGCUUUUCCCCCUCAUUCACAAUUCAAAAAUGCAUGGUGUUUUUCAUUCUAUCAGUCUUUCCUAGAAAGACUAGAAAGAGCCACUGCUAAUCUUUCUCUGUAAAUCUCAACUUCAUUUUUUUCUUUGAUGAAUGGAUCAUAGAUAGAAACUAAGAAAAAUAAUUCUGAGUUUCUCUUUUUAGAUCAAGGUUUUGCAAUGUUAGAUUUAAAGGUUAAAGUAAUUUUUAUCCAAAAAAUUCCUUUUAACUUCAUAAAUUCAAUUCCUGUCUCCUUGGAUCUCUUGUCACUAGAAAGAAGGGGAAAAAUCAUACUUUAGAUGGAUUCUCAACUUCCCCUUACAUAGUACUUUAUUAAAAACAAAAUUAAAUAAGUACAGCACUCUUAGUUUUUGGAACUUUUAGAAAGGUAUUCUUGUUCAUUCAGUUCCUUGAAAUAAAACAUUUGUUUCUGAUAAAAUUAGAUCAUAAAUUCUUAGUCAAAAAUAAGCCCUAAGGACAGUUAUCUAAACACAAACAUACACACACACACACACACACACACACACACGCAGAGAGUAUCCAAUAAAUUUGGGUUUGAUUGCUUUAAAAGCUGUAUAACUAUGACACUGUUUUUUGUUUUAGAAUCUUGGAGUUUUUCCAGAAUCAGUAAUAUAUACCAUUUAGUUAAACUAGUUCAGAAGUUUGGGAAGAAUUACCAAUAUCAAAUGAAAUUUUAGCAAUGGAUAGAGAGUUUUAUUUAAGGAAAGCAUAAAUCAUGUUAAUCAAAUGAAAUUUCUGGCUGAGAAUAUUGGUGGCAGUAUCUUUCAGAACCUCAAACAGAGGGGAAGAAUAAUAGUUAAUUCAGCUGUGACUGGAGAGAUGCCACUGUCUUUUCGCUGCACAUGGGCUAGGUGUAUGGAUUCUGACCAUCACUUCUAUUUGAUGUCCAGGUAGAGAGUAUUGCUAAGACUCUUCAUAUCACUGGGUCUCUACCACAUUCUGAAGCUGAGGACAAAAGAAAACAAAAAGCAAACAUAAACCCAGAAUUCUAACAGUCAAUGGCAUUCUUCACAACCACUUGUAGAUACAUGAGCAGUCACAUGUCCCUUAUAUCAGACACUGUACCUCAGACAGAACAAAGAACAAGACAGUAAUACAACAAUGAACAAGACAGCUUGGCCUCUCCAUGGAUAGAGCUUAUAUGUAGUGGAGAAUAAACAAGCCAGUAAGGCCCAUAGAGAUGCAGUGAUGACUAAGACAUAUUUGACUGACAUGAGUGGAAAAGGACCAGGAAUGCUGCUUAUCUUAGGUGUUGAGAGGAGGCCUCUCAGAAGAAAGAGAUCAACAUUUGAGCUGUAGUUUGAAAAGCUUAAAGAGGAACUUGUCUAAAUACUAUUCAUGUGACAGAAGGAAGAACAAGAGCAAGGACCCUGAGGGUAAAUCUAGAAUGGAGUGUCCUAGGCUCAGAAACAACUCCUGUAGAAGUACUCUG